AUCAUCUUGUGAGCAUCUGGGCCAAGUUCAGGGCUGGUGCUCUCGUUCAGAUAGAUUUAGCUGGUGGUGCAGAGAUCCGUGAGCUUGCUUUUACAGGACUUUAAUGAUAUAUAAAAGCAGCACGAGGUGCUCCUGACUGUGGAUUAAUUUGGAGAUGACUUUCUCUGUUGAAGAGUAGCAAGACUCUCGCGAGUUCUUAAAAAUGCACUUGUUUGGUAUGAGAAUGAAAAGCAGUGGCUGAAGAACCAAUCUUCAAUGGGCAAGCCUUCUCUGUGUCUGUUCUAACACGUGCCAUUUGGGAUCCCUUGGAAUCUUCAUGUACAGAACUGGUUGCUGCCUCGUUGAGUCGGUGGGGACAGAAUAGCUCCUGGUUGACAGCAUGGGUUGUGCAGAAGGACGGAUCCUGCAGACAUCAAUAUCUGGCUUUGAGUGGCACAAAGAAAUAAAGGAAUGUGGAUUCAGACCUCACUGGGAUGCUUGGCAAUUCUAAUUCUACCCCAGACUGCAAAUGGACACACAACUGUUGUGACUUUUGUUGAAGAGGAGAAGGAUGGGUGAGCAUGUGACGUUGGGAAAUUGUAUUUUCUUCUUCGAGUUCUUCUGUUUCCGAAUAUUUAAUCCUACUGUUUUCUUCUUUAGUGAAGGUCUCUUUAGUCAAUAAUCUCUUUGCUGAAAUUGCUUCGGGCAGCACAGAAGCUGGAUUCAGAAGCACACAGGUCUGGGGAUGCAGGCUUCGGCCAGCCUGAUGCAAGGAAAGACUGCCAUCUCGUGGUCAGCUCAAUCCUGGCACCUUGGUGAGGGACCAGGCUGCAGAAAACCAGGCUUGGGGAGGAAACGGUGCUGCAAACUGGAUUUCUGCCGGACAGUGUGGAUGCCCUUAGAAAACACCCAGAAAAGAGCUGAGUGCCCCCCAAGACUUGCCCUGAAUUCUUUCAUGUGCAAUAUCCGAAAACCCUCUCUUGGGGCCUGGAUCAGGACCCCUUUCCUAUAACAUCUUUCUGGCGACAACAAAGGGACAAUGGUGUGGAAUCCCCCUUCCCAAAUGCUACUUUUAGAUAUCACCUUUUGUCGGAACUUGGAGUUGGUAAUGACCUUCACCAUACCACCACUCUGGGACUGAGCUUCUCUCUACCCUGAUGCAAGAGACCCUAAUAGGCAGGAAUAUGACCACCCCUAUUCAGCCUGAAGAAGUUACAGAAGUUCUGAAACCCUUAGAAAUGAGGGUCUUCUUGUAAAGGGAGUGGGGAGAUAUAUCAGAGGCAUUUGAACCAGAGCAACUCCAUCUUGAGUGAGGGCUAGGAAAAUGAGGCUAGGACUUGCUGGGCUGCAUUCUCAGAAAGUCAGUCAUUCCUAGCCUCUAGAUGUUUACGGUUAAGGGAACAAAUUUAUAACAUUUACUAAACACACCCAGACUUGGGAGUGUCCAGAUAUCCCAAUAUCUGGAGAACAAAGGCAUUCCUAAUUUUGCUUUAAAGACAAUAAUAUUGAUUCUUGCAAAAUAUAGUAAUUAAGAAAAUUAAUCCUUUAUCACAAACCCUUGUAGUAAAACACAUCUCCCCAUAUAUACAAGCAUUGUACCUAAGGUGGAUGCGUUCCAUCUCUUACUUUCAGGAAUGUCCUACACUAUCUAAGGAGUAGCUGUACUUUCACCACUUUACUUUCUUAAUAAACUUGUUUUUACUUUGCA
rnacentral:lncRNA from 1 species